rnacentral:rRNA from 1 species
AGUUUGAUCAUGGCUCAGGACGAACGCUGGCGGCGUGCCUAAUACAUGCAAGUCGAGCGAAUCAAUAGGAGCUUGCUCCUGUUGGUUAGCGGCGGACGGGUGAGUAACACGUGGGCAACCUGCCUGUAAGACUGGGAUAACACCGGGAAACCGGUGCUAAUACGGGAUAAUCCUUUUCCUCACAUGAGGGAAAGCUGAAAGUCGGUUUCGGCUGACACUUACAGAUGGGCCCGCGGCGCAUUAGCUAGUUGGUGAGGUAACGGCUCACCAAGGCGACGAUGCGUAGCCGACCUGAGAGGGUGAUCGGCCACACUGGGACUGAGACACGGCCCAGACUCCUACGGGAGGCAGCAGUAGGGAAUCUUCCACAAUGGGACGAAAGUCUGAUGGAGCAACGCCGCGUGAGCGAUGAAGGCCUUCGGGUCGUAAAGCUCUGUUGUUAGGGAAGAACAAGUACCGGAGUAACUGCCGGUACCUUGACGGUACUAACCAGAAAGCCACGGCUAACUACGUGCCAGCAGCCGCGGUUAUACGUAGGUGGCAAGCGUUGUCCGGAAUUAUGGGCGUAAAGCGCGCGCAGGCGGUCUUUUAGUCUGAUGUGAAAGCCCACGGCUCAACCGUGGAGGGUCAUUGGAAACUGGGGGGACUUGAGUGCAGAAGAGGAAGCGGAAUUCCACGUGUAGCGGUGAAAUGCGUAGAG